UUGCACGCUGGCGGCAGGCCUAACCCCUGCCAGUCGAACGGUAACAGGAAGAAGCUUGCUUCUUUGCUGACGAGUGGCGGACGGGUGAGUAAUGUCUGGGAAACUGCCUGAUGGAGGGGGAUAACUACUGGAAACGGUAGCUAAUACCGCAUAACGUCGCAAGACCAAAGAGGGGGACCUUCGGGCCUCUUGCCAUCGGAUGUGCCCAGAUGGGAUUAGCUAGUAGGUGGGGUAACGGCUCACCUAGGCGACGAUCCCUAGCUGGUCUGAGAGGAUGACCAGCCACACUGGAACUGAGACACGGUCCAGACUCCUACGGGAGGCAGCAGUGGGGAAUAUUGCACAAUGGGCGCAAGCCUGAUGCAGCCAUGCCGCGUGUAUGAAGAAGGCCUUCGGGUUGUAAAGUACUUUCAGCGGGGAGGAAGGGAGUAAAGUUAAUACCUUUGCUCAUUGACGUUACCCGCAGAAGAAGCACCGGCUAACUCCGUG
rnacentral:rRNA from 1 species